CCGUCAAUGCGCUACAAAUUAAGUUAACAAAAUUGCCUAAAGAGUAACGGAGGCGUGCAAAGGUUGGCUAGCUACGGAUGGAAAUCGUAGCGAUAGUGUAAACGCAUAAGCCAGCUUGACUGUAAGGCCUACAAGCCGAGCAGGUGCGAAAGCAGGCGUUAGUGAUCCAGCCGGUUUCAGAACGAAACGGCCGGCGCUCAACGGAUAAAAGCUACCCCGGGGAUAACAGGCUGAUUGCGCCCAAUCGUCCACUGAGACGGCGCAGUUUGGCACCUCGAUGUCGGCUCAUCCUAGCCUGGGGGUGGUGAAGCUCACAAGGGUUUGGCUGUUCGCCAAUUAAAAGGGUACGCGAGCUGGGUUCAGAACGUCGCGAGACAGUAAAAUGUGCUGUCUAAGCAUUUAGAAAUUGGAACACUAAAUGCGUCAGUUGCUUGAACAACAACUGAUUAAAUUUGGCCAAAUGCUGGAAACUCUGAGUAUCAAGCGCUACUUGUGCUACGAUGGUCCUAAUGGACCUGGUUAGAACAAGUGAAAAUGCGUCUUGUGCAGACAAUCAGCAGGAAAGACUUCAGAAAAUUGAUCCGUGGUAUAUUUCGGGCUUCGUUGAUGGCGAGGGAACGUUUCAUGUUUCAUUUGCCAAGCGUCAAGAUUUGCCUCAGCACUGGGCGAUCAUACCCGAAUUUCACGUCUCCCAACACCAAGACCGAGCUUCGGUUUUGGACGAAAUACAAAAGUAUUUCGACUGCGGGACGAUACGUGACAACCACCGCGGACGCAGCAACGAUGUAACGAGAGUUCUCGUUGUUCGCAAUCGUCGAGACUUACUCGACAAAAUAGUUCCCUUCUUUCAGCGUUAUCCGCUCCGCUCCCAAAAGCGAGAUGAUUUUCGGACUUUUGCCGAGAUAGUCACCGCCAUGGAGCGAGGCGACCACCGCACGCCCGAAGGUUUUCGCUCGAUAGCGACGAAAGCGUUUCAAAUGAACGGUGGCGGAAGAUAUCGCAAACGAAAGAUCGAAGAACUUUUCUGAAGAAUCCUCAGAGACUGUACGCCAGAGUCCGCCGGAAGGUGGAUAAGAUACAGUCCGGACUGCAUGGCGACAUGCAGACUUCACAGAAAUGAUGAAGCGCCCCGCACUUUGUUGCUCACAAUCAAUCUCGAGCAGCAAAUGCACUUUGAGCUAGUUAAUGGUCAGAGUGCGGGGUUUGCAAAGUAACAGAUCGUCGGUCCUAAUCUGCUGUAAGCGUUGAAGAUUGAGAGGAGCGGCUCCUAGUAUGAGAAGACCGGAGCGGACGAACCUCUGGUGUAUCGGCUGUCCUGCCAAGGGCACUGUCGAGUAGCUACGUUCGGAACUGAUAACCGCUGAAAGCAUAUAAGCGGGAAGCAGGCCUCAAGAUUAAUCUUCGUUAUAGACCCCCGGAAGACUACCGGGUUGAUAGGCGCUAGGUGUAAGCACAGUAAUGUGUUCAGCCAAGGCGUACUAAUCGGUCGAGAAUUACUAACUC
rnacentral:rRNA from 1 species